CUCGAAUGGAUGCGCUGUGCAUCUGCUCCCGUAUUCGAGGUCUUGUGUGUCAAAGGGUUG
rnacentral:snoRNA from 1 species